ACUCUUAAUGUGAAACUGAAGCUGCUCAAGGAAAUUGCUGAAGUGAGCUAGACAGGAUUCCAGUGCGUUCGGAACUGAAUUGCUGAAGCCACAUGAAGACUUACUGAGAGGUCCGAUACAAUUUAUCAGUGGUUCUAAGUUGCCCUUCAGUAGUGAGAAACUUGAUGAACCACUGUAUUCCCGCACCCAAACAAGAUAAGGAGAAACAAUCUGAUUCUGAUGCGAAUUUUGAAAUACUAGAUUUUCCAGAAGUUACUAAGUCAGUCAGUAGAAGUGUUGCUGAAGAAAUCAGUUAGCAAUGCUAGUAAAUGAAUGUGUUAAACAAGGAACUAAAAGUGUCACAGGGAUUGCAAUAUGCAAGCUAAGUAGAAGACUUCUUCUUGCUGAAAGAAGAAUUACCGCUUAAUGGAAAUCACAUUUGGAGAUUAAAAUAGUUGACUGAAGUUCAGAUUUGUAUUUACUGAAGGACAGCAACCAGAAAUUACCUUCAAGAGCUUUAGCAGAUACAAAGACAUAUUGUGGGGACAGAAUAAGAUUUAAAUGCAUCUUUUGGUUCGACGGAUGUGUUUUCCAAACAGGUCGCAAGAGUUCAAGAAAUUUUCUUUUGAAGAACUAGAAUGAGAUAUUCUGAUUUAAUUUUGUUUAUUGCACUUUUAAGCAUAUAUUGCUCUUAGUAUUUAAUAUGGACGGAACAUAAUUAUAUUUCUCAAGUGAACAGUUACAUUUGUAUAUUUCUGCAAUACAAUAUUGAUACAUGAUUUGAAUUUA